rnacentral:rRNA from 1 species
GAUGAACGCUGGCGGCGUGCCUAAUACAUGCAAGUCGAGCGAACAGAUGAGGAGCUUGCUCCUCUGACGUUAGCGGCGGACGGGUGAGUAACACGUGGAUAACCUACCUAUAAGACUGGGAUAACUUCGGGAAUCCGGAGCUAAUACCGGAUAAUAUAUUGAACCGCAUGGUUCAAUAGUGAAAGACGGUUUUGCUGUCACUUAUAGAUGGAUCCGCGCCGCAUUAGCUAGUUGGUAAGGUAACGGCUUACCAAGGCAACGAUGCGUAGCCGACCUGAGAGGGUGAUCGGCCACACUGGAACUGAGACACGGUCCAGACUCCUACGGGAGGCAGCAGUAGGGAAUCUUCCGCAAUGGGCGAAAGCCUGACGGAGCAACGCCGCGUGAGUGAUGAAGGUCUUCGGAUCGUAAAACUCUGUUAUUAGGGAAGAACAAAUGUGUAAGUAACUAUGCACGUCUUGACGGUACCUAAUCAGAAAGCCACGGCUAACUACGUG